AGCGGUGGGGAGCUGAGCAGAGCGCGACGCCCGCUCACCCUGCCCCCUCACCUCGCGGGCCCCACCGCGCGCACCCCUCCUCUUGCUGCUUGCGGCUUCCUCUUCGUUGUUUGGCUUGCCUUUGGGGGGGCGACAGUGGGGAGUCUGUCGGGCGUGCCAGCGGAGGAGGAAGUCAGGUGAGAGGCCUCGAAGCACCCCGCACACCCUAGCCUGCGUGGGGUGUAUCACUCUCCACUAAGGACAAGUGGGCCAAAUUUUUUUUUUCUGUCUUCAGUGUUCCAGUGGAGAAGAUCUUUUCCUAAAGGGCCUCGCCUCGUUCCCUUCACCCUGGACUGUUUCCCCUUCAUCCCAUCAGCGUCCCUUCCAGCCCCUUACUCAGGAGUUCUGCACCCCAGCUGAGCUGCACGUGGGGGAAGAACGAGGGGUCCGCCUUUGCAGACCCCUAAUCUGUGCCCGAGCCUAUUUGUUUCAAUAUUUUUCCUCUUGUCAGCAGCUGUACGUCUCAGCCCACUGGAACGAGAUGCCUACGCUGAUGUCCAGUUUUUCCCCAAAAAAGCUGGGGGCAAAGAGGGCAAGAAAUGCGGAUUUCAUUACAGGGGACUCCGGAGAGAAAGGCCUAGGGAACCUUAGUAAAGGGGGGAACUCCAGAGACCUCUGACAGAUCAGGACCCCAGGCUAAGGAAAAACUGGGACUGGAUCAAUUUUAACCCUCUCUUCUCACCUCUCUCCCCAACUCCCCAGCUCAGAGGAAGCUAACAGGUCUUUUCUUUUGUGUGUGUCGCUUUUGGAAAUUUUGCAUUGGUUAUGACAACAGAAAAUUACUGCUGUUCACUGGAAGUUGGGAUCGCAGGAAGAGAGAACAAUUUUUACGUUUCCUCUUUGUACGUGUUUGGCCAGGAGUGAAGUUGUUAGGUUCAUGGAAUGAACUGCAAAAGGUCCGUUUAGGACAAUAAAGACUGCAGAGCUGCCUGGAUGUAUUUUUAGAAACUGCACUUUCACGAGUUCCUUUCACACAAGGCUUGGUCUCUCAUUAAGUCCCAUAAUUAACUGUAUUUCGAGAGAAGGAAAUAUGGAAGCAGGAGAGGGAUUGCUAAGAUUGCCAUCCCACCAGGGCAGAGCAUGGUUUGCAGGGGGUUCCUGGAAAGUAAGUGUGGGCUGAGAAUUCAGUUUUCCUAAAAGCUCUGUUGGGACCUCUUCUGUCUGAUGUCUAUGAAUAAAGCACACUGGGAAAAUCCUGAUAUCCCUUAAGUCUUAUUUUAUCUUUUACACGGUGGUUGAUUCACGUUCCAAGUCCUCAAACAAACAUCAACUGUGCUGUGUUUUUGUGUGGCUUUUCUAAAUAAAGGAGAAGAGCUUGUGUGUUUAUGCUGCUUUCUGACAUGCGCCCCCUUCACCCGUGGAUAUUGAAGUCACUGAAAUUUACCCAUUUCCUGGUUGAUAAUUUGUACAGACAAUUCCAAAAAUACAAAAAUAUGAAAAAAUUAUGAAUUAGUGUUCCUUUAGGAAACUAACCCCCUCCCCCAAGACACAAGUGCGCACCUCAACUCCUGGUUCUAUAAAGCAAAGUAAAAGCAUAAAUGAUUGCAAUGGGCAGAACUAAGUCAGACACCAGUGUUCCUCUCUGAUCCACUUUCUACCCCUGCAGGAGGAUCCCAGGAGCCAUCACGUUCUCCUGCCUUAAUUUACUAAGAUGCUGAAUUGCCUAACCUACACCAGUGUCUCCAUCUGAGAAAGACAUCAGGUUUAGAUGUCGCGGGUCUCUGUCCUGUUAAGUUGAGCUGCAGAACUUCCCUGUCAAUUCUCCUAGUCUUGCUGUAACAGCCCUGAUCCCCUUGUAUGAAGGUGAAUGUCUCCAGAAAAUACAGUGGCCAUAUACACAGGAAGUAGAUGAAAGUAAAUUAAAAGCCUCCACUCUAUUUCAUGUCUGAAAAUGGGUCAAUGUUCACAUAGCUACAUGUCCUUCCUCAUAGGGGGAUAAUAGCCAGGAAGAAAAUAUUUGAACAUGGAAGACUGAAGCUGCUACAGGACAGUGCUGACUAAACUUUGAUUUGCAUUUGCACCCCUGGAGGAUCUUGUGUCAAGACAGAUUCAGAUUCAAAAGGUUUGGGUUAGGUCCCAAUAUUUUUUUCUAACAAGAUGAUGCCAGGCUGCUGUUCUGUGAAUGCCAAGAGUUUAGAGCCCUUCCUUAGGCAACUCCUGUCCCCUCUGUGCAGUCAGCAAAAGGAGAGCACUUCCUGGUCAGAGGCUUAAAAAAAAAAAAAACAGGAAAUACACAGCAUGUAUUUGGAUGAGACUAGAAACAAAACGAACAAGUUAACGAAGAAAUACGUUCAUCAAAACCUGACAUUAUUACUAACAUUGAGAUGGAAUGGAGUCAAAGGUGGGCUACCCAGGUAUUCAGUGUUUAAGUGCAGCUGCUUUUGAAAUUUAAUUUUAAGUUGUAACAAGAAUCACUGUAUCUAGUUAUAUCCUUCCCUAGAGAGGAAAGUUCAAGUUUCCAUAAAGGAGGAACUAAAGCUCUCAGAAUUACUGAGUUGUACAGUGCUAAUUUAUAUGAAUCUUCACCUUCCUCCAUAAGUUUCUAAUGAUUAUGGUUUCUGGAGAAUAAUAUAUCACUUUUUUAAUGCAUAUUCUUAAUCUACAAAACAAAAAACUUCCAAAAAUUUAAACUAGAAAAACAUUUUAGAAUGUUUUAGAACACUCAGGAUGUUCUGUCAUAGGGAGAGAAUGAAGUGUCAUGUGUGUAUAUGUGUAUGAUUAUUCUGUGUUAUUAUAAACUUCCAGAGCAUAGCAUGCAUUUUCAGAGACGUUGUCUUAGCAUUUAAACUGCAAGGCCCUUUUGUAGAAGCCCUCUUCUUGCUCACCAGCAAGCCCUAUAGAUAGGUAACUCUGGCAAUCUUAUAUGUGAUUUAUUAAUAUGUCAUGUUCUUGACCAAGUAAACCUGAUUUUGCUAAUUACUUAUCAGUUCUUUUACCUUGUAUUUCUUUAAGAGCAGCAUUGCUUGUUUUACCAAAUAUAUAUUGUCCAACUUGCAGAAAAUACUAAUGAUAUUACAGAUAACAAAAUGAGAUUAUGUGUGCAGAUCCCUGCAUCCUGGUGGGCACUAUCUUGUUUAGUAAGUUUUUCCUUCUGCUGUUGCCACUGCCAAACAGACUGCUUAUGAAAUCUUUGGCUUUCUUAACGACUCUUCAGGGAUCACUAAAAUGUUUCUUUUUUCCUGGAUGCCAACUUCAUCUCCUUUUAAGAAUAUAGUAUUAGUUUAAAGGGAUACUCAAUUUAAAGCAAACUUGUAGAUUCAGUCACUCAUGAUUGAUAUUAGGCAAGCAGAAAAAAAAUAGGUUGAUUUUUAUCCUCUACCUUUUAUCCUCCAACUUUUUUAUCUUUGAUGGUGAAGGUGGCUACUUUUUUUAAACCACAGCCUGGUAUGUAUUGUUUGAAAACUUGUUUGAAAGUUGUCUUAACCUAUGUCGUUCUUCUGUUUUUAUCUGUAGAAAUGAGAAAACAUAUAUGUCAGCUACUUGUUUCUUUUAAGUACUCAAAUUAAUAUUUUUCUUGAAAUAAAUAAUAAUUACAGUUUUAAGUUGUCAUAUUAAUAUUUUACAUGAAGUAAGCUCAAUAUGUAUACACAGCAUAGCAGUAAAGACAUCUCAAAUAAUAAGUAAUUCGUGAAACUAAGUUUGAAAUUUAAGCACUGCUAAUAUGUCUACAUAUUUGUAUUUCUUUUCUUGGACUUGGUCUGUUUAAAAUAAUAGUUAUGGCCUAUUGUGUUAUUUGUUAUUCUGUCAUUUAAAAUGUAAAUUAUGCUGUCUUGAAUUAUUUGUGUAAAGCUGAGUUUAUAGGUAAGUUUAUAGUACCAAUAAACAACCAGUGAUUACAUUUUUAC
ensembl:lncRNA